rnacentral:rRNA from 1 species
AAUCAACGCUGGCGGCGUGCCUAACACAUGCAAGUCGAACGAGAAAGGGGCUUCGGCCCUGAGUAAAGUGGCGCACGGGUGAGUAACACGUGACUAACCUACCCUGGAGUGGGGAAUAACUUCGAGAGAUCGAGGCUAAUACCGCAUAACACCUACGGGUCAAAGGAGCAAUUCGCUUCAGGAGGGGGUCGCGGCAGAUUAGUUAGUUGGCAGGGUAAUGGCCUACCAAGACAGUGAUCUGUAUCCGGCCUGAGAGGGCGCACGGACACACUGGAACUGAAACACGGUCCAGACUCCUACGGGAGGCAGCAGUGGGGAAUUUUGCGCAAUGGGGGAAACCCUGACGCAGCAACGCCGCGUGGAGGAUGAAGUCUCUUGGGACGUAAACUCCUUUCGACCGGGACGAUAAUGACGGUACCGGAAGAAGAAGCCCCGGCUAACUUCGUGCCAGCCGCCGCGGUAAUAC